GUGGGGAAUAUUGGGCAAUGGGCGCAAGCCUGACCCAGCAACGCCGCGUGAGGGAAGAAGGUCUUCGGAUUGUAAACCUCUGUCCUUGGGGACGAAAAAAAUGACGGUACCCAAGGAGGAAGCUCCGGCUAACUACGUGCCAGCAGCCGCGGUAAUACGUAGGGAGCGAGCGUUGUCCGGAAUUACUGGGCGUAAAGGGUGCGUAGGCGGCAUGGCAAGUCAGAUGUGAAAUCCCCGGGCUUAACUCGGGGGGUGCAUUUGAAACUGCUGUGCUUGAGUGCAGGAGAGGAAAGCGGAAUUCCUAGUGUAGCGGUGAAAUGCGUAGAUAUUAGGAGGAACACCAGUGGCGAAGGCGGCUUUCUGGACUGUAACUGACACUGAGGCACGAAAGCGUGGGGAGCAAACAGGAUUAGAAACCCGAGUAGUCC
rnacentral:rRNA from 1 species